UACGAAGGGGGCGAGCGUUGUUCGGAUUUACUGGGCGUAAAGCGUGCGUAGACGGUUACAUAAGUCGGGUGUGAAAGCCCCGGGCUCAACCUGGGAAUUGCAUUCGAGACUGCGUAGCUAGGGUGCGGAAGAGGGAAGCGGAAUUUCCGUUGUAGCGGUGAAAUGCGUAGAUAUCGGAAGGAACACCAGUGGCGAAAGCGGCUUCCUGGUCCAGCACCGACGUCAGGCACGAAAGCGUGGGGAGCAAACAGGG
rnacentral:rRNA from 1 species